UGAAAGAUUUCUUCGGAAUGAAUUUGAUUUAGUUUAGUGGCGGACGGGUGAGUAACGCGUGAGUAACCUGCCUUCAAGAGGGGGAUAACAUUCUGAAAAGAAUGCUAAUACCGCAUGAUAUAUCGGAACCACAUGGUUUUGAUAUCAAAGAUUUUAUCGCUUGAAGAUGGACUCGCGUCCGAUUAGUUAGUUGGUGAGGUAACGGCUCACCAAGACCGCGAUCGGUAGCCGGACUGAGAGGUUGAACGGCCACAUUGGGACUGAGACACGGCCCAGACUCCUACGGGAGGCAGCAGUGGGGGAUAUUGCGCAAUGGGGGCAACCCUGACGCAGCAACGCCGCGUGAAGGAUGAAGGUUUUCGGAUUGUAAACUUCUUUUAUUAAGGACGAAAAACGACGGUACUUAAUGAAUAAGCUCCGGCUAACUACGUGCCAGCAGCCGCGGUAAUACGUAGGGAGCAAGCGUUGUCCGGAUUUACUGGGUGUAAAGGGUGCGUAGGCGGCUUUGCAAGUCAGAUGUGAAAUCUAUGGGCUCAACCCAUAAACUGCAUUUGAAACUGUAGAGCUUGAGUGAAGUAGAGGCAGGCGGAAUUCCCCGUGUAGCGGUGAAAUGCGUAGAGAUGGGGAGGAACACCAGUGGCGAAGGCGGCCUGCU
rnacentral:rRNA from 1 species